CCUACGGGGGACAGCAGUAGGGAAUCUUCCACAAUGGGCGAAAGCCUGAUGGAGCAAAGCCGCGUGGGUGAAGAAGGUCUUCGGAUCGUAAAACCCUGUUGUUAGAGAAGAAAGUGCGUGAGAGUAACUGUUCACGUUUCGACGGUAGCUAACCAGAAAGCCACGGCUAACUCCGUGCCAGCAGCCGCGGUAAUCAGUAGGUGGCAAGCGUUAGCCGGAUUUAUUGGGCGUAAAGGGAACGCAGGGGGUCUUUUAAGUCUGAUGUGAAAGCCUUCGGCUUAACCGGAGUAGUGCAUUGGAAACUGGGAGCCUUGAGUGCAGAAGAGGAGAGUGGAACUCCAUGUGUAGCGGUGAAAUGCGUAGAUAUAUGGCAGAACACCAGUGGCGAAGGCGGCUCUCUGGCCUGUAACUGACGCUGAGGUUCGAAAGCGUGGGUAGCAAACAGGAUUAGAUACCCUUGUAGUC
rnacentral:rRNA from 1 species